GAAGGAAGGAAGGAAGGAAGGCUGGCUUAGGGCUUCAGAGCAUUAUGAUGAUAGAAGAAAGGACCAUCUAUUGCCUAUUCCUCCCGAAGGGAAUAAGGCUGCAGAAAGGCCAUAAAGUUGCCCUCCUCUUGCAGCAGCAAAAGAGACAGCUGUGAAAUCCAGUUCAGACAAGUGUUCUCAGGUCCCAUUUCAAGGGAAGCAGACUAUGAUAUAUUGAAUGAAGCAGGUGAAUUGGUGAGAGAGAAUGAUAGAAGAAACUACAGGCAAUGGGCAAAAUAGUCCUGCAACUGUCUCCGCUUUGUCUCCUUUUUUCCAGCAGCUGCACUUUAGGAAGGAUGUGACUUAAGUCUCAGUAAAGAUGGUAAAGGCUGAGCAUUAUUUUGCAUUAUUGUUUUUAAACUACUUUCUCGUUUUUGUUUUUUUUUUCUUUUAUUUGACCCAAGCCUCAAAUUCUCAAUGAUCUUUUUGAUAUCUGAGGAAAAAACACCUAUAUCAGUAUAAAUGAAAGCUAUUUCUUUGGAUUUUUAUUUGUUACCUUUUUGCAGGUAUUAUUUUAUAAUUUCAUUUCUCUUUUAAUCCUGCUUUGUUUCACUUGGCAACUCCAGCAGUAGUUUCUAGCUUCUGGCAAGGAAAACAGAUGAGCAAAUAUUCUGUCUUGAAGUUAAAUGCAUUGCUGCAGCAACAGACCUCUUCAGCUUUCCAGCUACCAUGAAUCCUGAGCCUACUCUUAAACUGGAUGCCCUCACAGGACUAUGUCUCGAAGAAGCCAAUUCUAGGUGGAGAUCACUUCCCCUUAGUAUGCUGCCUAGGAGUCAAAGCAUUUCCAGUUUCUACACUCUGCCUUCAAAACCCGGAGCGGAAAAUGCAGCUGGACGUUCAUAUCUGCCUCUCAAGCACACUGAAAGUGCCAGCAGAAUGAUUUCUUCACAAUAUAAAGAUGUGAUUUAUGCUUCUACUCUCCUACUUUGCACCAGCAAGCAUGCUGUGCUGUCUUUUGCUUUCAUGCAAACUGUAAUCUAUACAAAAUUCUUUUUUUUCAUA